GGGCCUGUAGCGCAAUGGUAGAGCUCCGAGCUUAUACCUCGGCGGUUGAUGGUUCGAAUCCAUCCAGGCCCACCA
rnacentral:tRNA from 1 species